ACCAGCAGGUUCCUGUAUCUUGGGAAUAUUAAGAAUAUUAGAGAGCAACUUGCAGCAGUCAGAAUUUCACAUUAAGGGAACCAGCCAUUCCUGUGGAGGGCAGGAUGGAGUGACAACCUGUAUGCUCAUUCAACAUGCACUGAAUGAGAGCCAAGGAACGCUUUAUCGAAGCUUCUUCUUCCUUAUACAGACCUAGACAUAAUCAGAGGAACAGCUUGCUUAGAAAUCUGGAGUCCUGUUUUGCAAUAUAGUAACUAUAUGGCAUUAAGAAAAUCAGUUAGCCUGUUUGAACUUCAGUUUUCUAAUUUUCAAACAGAGAGAUGUGGUUACUGCAUCCAAUCACUGAGAUGACUGAAUUAUGAAGGGGCAAAUCUUAUCAGUCAGUUAAUCCACCAAGAUACCUCCUUUCCUGACUUCAGUCAGGGAUAUAAAUGGGGUAUCUUUAUCAAAACCCUACCCUCAAAUCUCAGGGAUCUACGAGAAUAAGAGCUAGAAAUAUUCUAAGACCCAGAAGAGAUAGAUAACAUCAGACAAACCACAUCUACCGGACAACAAGAACUGAUCGAUCCAUCUAUGAACUCCUAGAGACUGUGGAAGCACUCACAAGACCUGAACAAGUCCAACCAGACAAAAGCCCAGCACUGAGAAGGUGGAGUAGACACAAAGUUCCAGCUCUAAUCAAGAAGCAGUCUGUAACUGAUAACUGCUAGAAAAAGUAAAAUUAGUUUUCUCC
rnacentral:lncRNA from 1 species